CCAUGGCGACCUUCUUCACCUGAAGGACCUUUUGGUCCUGGAUUGCCAGUUAAUCCAAUUGGCCCAGGGCUGCCAUCUCGUCCAGGACUACCUCUAGGUCCAGAUUCGCCAUCUUUUCCAGGUUGACCAGGGGGCCCAGCAAUACCAUCCACUCCUCUAAUUCCUGGAGGUCCAGGAGGACCUUCUCUACCUCUUUCACCACGUGGACCUGCAGGGCCCUAUUUAAUUAUUAAACAUCUAAUAAAUUAUUGUUUUUAUAUAAUUAAAAUAUAUGAUUACAAUUUACAAAAUUUA